AUACGGAGGGUGCAAACGUUGUUCGGAAUUACCGGGCGUAAAGCGCGCGUAGGCGGUUUGUUAAGUCAGAUGUGAAAGUCCACAGCUCAACUGUGGAAGUGCAUUUGAAACUGGCAGACUUGAGUACUGGAGGGGGUGGUGGAAUUCCCGGUGUAGAGGUGAAAUUCGUAGAUAUCCGGAGGAAUACCGGUGGCGAAGGCGACCACCUGGCCAGAUACUGACGCUCAGGUGCGAAAGCGUGGGGAGCAAACAGGAUUAGAAACCCCAGUAGUCC
rnacentral:rRNA from 1 species